CAUUGAAACACCGGUUCCCGUAUGAUCACCGAAGUUAAGCAACGUCGAACCUGGUUAGUACCUAGAUGAGUGACCAGUUGGAAAUAUCAGGUACU